UAAUCAAAUUUAUGAUUACCAUCUUCUUUAUCUUCUUUAUUAUAUUAUAUUUAUAUAAAGGAGGUUCUUCCAAAGCUUACGUGGCAUGUCUCAAACUCCUCUAAUCAGAUUCUGUGAUUUCCUAGCUUUUUACAAAAUCCUACGCUCAAUUUUCUCAUCCUUCAGCUUAGAUUUCUAGACUUUAAUAUUAAUAAAUAAAUCCUUUUCUCAGAGCUGAUAAACGUAAAGGGCUAAUGAAAGGGUAAAUGUCUCUUUACUAUCCCUGGUUAAAUUUCGCCUCUUUUAGUAAUCAUAUAUAACUAGCUACAAUUACUGCGAGCAAGUUCUCAAAUGAUGCUGAUCAGGCCACCCAAUAGCACCAUGAUGCUCUUGCACCAAUCGAAGGUCGUCCUGCCAUUUCCGGGCGCCUGAAAUAUAGUACCCUCGCCUGCCGAAGGAGGCUGAUAGAGACAACAGAAAUAGAAAGCGCUCUUCUCUCUGCAGCCGCUCUCUCUUCGUUUUUUCAAGUUGGAAUGAAUGAAAGAAGGGAGACAGAGGACCGAUGAUCUAUUAAUGACACAAAAAACUUGUGUAAAUAUAUUUACUCUUCUUCUUCCAUGGUUUGCUCCCGCUUCAAAAACAGAUCCAAUUGAGGAGGAUAAAAAGAUAGCUAGAGCACUAAGGUUUGUAUUGUGCAAAGUAGAAACAGACAAGAUAUCUUUAGUUUUUAUAGAACCACUUUUUUAUCUGUACUUUUCCGAACUUGUGGGAAGUUAUGCAUAUGAAUUAUAUUAUUGAAUGUGAUGUAUGCAACUGAGCAUUUCUUUUAGGUUUUUGAAGACUUCAGCAUUCGUGUUGCACCAUGAUAAAGAAAUUUAGCCUGUAGGUCAUUGCCAACUGUGUUGUUGUAGUAGGAAGACGGAAUCUUAAAGGUUUUAGUAUAUAUAUAUAUCUUUGAAAUCUGACUAUGAGUUUUUUUACCGUUCAUGUAGAAUACAAUUAUUUCUAUCAAGGCAGUUGGAGACCCCUAAAUAGCCAACUUCGUAUUUUGUUGGUAAAGUGAGUGUCUGCAUUUACAUUGCCAUGUUUCAAACAAGAUGUGAAUAUUUUCCUUCCUGUUCUUUUUUCAUACGAUAUGGUUAAUACCCCUUUCCCUUUUGGCAGGAUUUUUUCCUGUUGACUUCCCCAACAGCUUAACUUUACAAUAUAAAUUACUGGAAGUUGUGUGACCCUCCAUUCUGUGCGACGUAGCAUAAGAUAUAGGAUACUGAAAAGGAAAUCUGUCAAUAGAUGAGCAAAUAAGUGCGAAUAAGACUGCAGUAUAGAAUAAAGAGUGAGACUCAAGCUAAAAAUGCAGCUGACAAGAUUUCUUUCAAUGUGGCUAAGCCAGACUCAAAAUAAGCUUUUUCCGCUCUUUUUGACACAUAUACCAGGACGACUUGAUGCAAUUUAUGAGAGACGACGAAGCAUUGAUGAUAAUAAUUCACUUCAAAGGAGCAAGUGGACGGAAAGGAAUUAGCAUGAAACAACUGAACAAUUGGAUGAUAAUAUAUCGAUUCGUAUGGACUGCAAAGACAAUUAUUAUUUUAGUGUAUAUACAUUCAAGGAGCGAAGAGUCUUGGUAUCGUCCUUGAUUGAUACGAAAGAAACUGUCAAUAAAUUCUACAAAAUAUUUAACAUCCUUGUAAGCCUAAUUAUAUUCAUUAUCUGGUGUCUUAUAAUAAAAGUUUCCGGCAUCCAGUUCUUCGUCCUUCUGAGCUCCCAGUUUCUUUUGUGUUUGGAAGCACAUGCAAGAGGAUGUUCGAAGGGAUCAUCUUAUUAUUUGUAGUGCACCCAUUGGUGAUCGAUGCGAAGUUAAUGAUGUUCAGGUUCUUAAAGAGAAAUAGAAUAUAUGUGCAUGCAUGUAUGUGUUUCAUAUGCCUUC